rnacentral:lncRNA from 8 species
CUCUGAUUAAAUAGUGGAGGGGGCAACAAAAACGAAUCAAGCCAAAUAAAGCAGCCACAUCACAAAUCUGGUCAGCCUUUGAGGAGAACGAUAAACGGACAUUGCUAUGGAAACUAAAAUAGGAGAUGCGGGGAGAGCUGAGUCUUUGGUCUGGAUGGUGUUCCAUGUUUGACUACCUCCAACAGCAGAGGGAGCACACCCCUAUCCACAUCGAUGGGACCGCAGUGGAGAAGGUGGAAAGCUUCAAGUUCCUCGACGUACACAUACCUACAAUCGAAAUGGUCCACCCACACAGAAGAAAGAACAAAUUUGGCUUGGCCCCUAAAACCUUCACAAACUUUUACAGAUGCACAAUUGAGAGCAUCCUGUUGGGCUGUAUCACUGUCUGGUACGGCAACUGCACUGCCCGCAACCGCAGAGCUCUCCAGAGGGUAGUGAGGUCUGCCCAACGCAUCACUGGGGGCAAACUACCUGCCCUCCAGGACACCUACAGCACCCGAUGUCACAGGAAGGCCAAAAAGACCAUCAAGGACAUCAACCAGCCGAGCCACGGUCUGUUCACCCCGCUAUCAUCCAGAAGGUGAGGUCAGUACAGGUGCAUCAAAGCUGGGACUGAGAGACUGAAAAACAGCUUCUAUCUCAAGGCCAUCAGACUGUUAAAUAGCCAUCACUAGCCGGCUUCCACCCGGUUACGCAAUCCUGCACCUUAGAGGCUGCUACGCUAUAUACAUGGACUUGGAAUCACUGGCCACUUUAAUAAUGGAACACUAGUCAGUUUAAUAAUGUAGAAAUAAUGUUUACAUACUGCUUUACUGAUCUCAUAUGUAUAUACUGUAUUUUAUUCUACUGUAUUUUAGUCAAUUCCACUCCGACAUUGCUCGAUCUAAUAUUUCUAUAUUUCUUAAUUCCAUUCUUUUACUUUUAGAUUAGUGUGUAUUGUUGUGAAUUGUUAGAUACUACUGCACUGUUGGAGCUAGGAACACAAGCUUUUCGUUACACCCGCAAUGACAUCUGCUAAAUAUGUGCAUGUGACCAAUACAUUUUUAUUUUAUUUUGAUUUGUUUAUUAACAGGUGGUAGAUGUCAUCUAAUUCCCUCACAAAGAGUAUAUUGAAGAAUCAGACAAACAGGUAUAUGUCAGUCCUGAUCAGUCCAAAUCAGAAUGGAGAUACAUGGAUAUGUGUUGGAAAUAUGGUAUCAUACUUCUCUUGAGAAUCUAUGAAAUCUGCAAGGUUCCAGUGAGAGAAAAGCUGACAAAAUAAACUCGGGAAGAAGAACACCCAUAUUACUAUAUCUCUUUGGUAUUCUAUGAUUCAAACAACGCUUUGUUUCCUAAAUGCUCCAGUGUGCAGCUCAACUUGCCACUGCUGAGAAGGAGAGAGCAUCUCCUGAGAGUAGUAGGGGGACGUGGAGACAAAAUGCUCAGAAAUUGCUUACUUACUGCUGGCUAGCUAAUCUCUCACUAAUCCAUCAUGGUACUUACUCACACACUGACUGCAUCUUUUGUUAAGUCACAAAAAAGUGUUUUUCUGCAGGGUGAAAGCUGGAGCAGUUCAGGACAUUCCCAGGGACCAAUGGAGGGAGUCGGGGACACAGAACAGCACCCACAUUCAUGUCCACUGCAUGUGUUCAAACCACAUACACUCACAUUCCCAUUGAGCAGGCAUUGGGUCCACAAUGUAACGUUACAGUAGAGUGAGUGCCCUUAUUGUCAACUGGAAAAUCUAUUAACAAUUUGACUACAUCCACUUUUAUUGGAUAACUGGGUCUGAUGAUUCCACCACAAUGGCAUGCUUUUGUUUGUGAGCAAUCAGAUUUAAGAAGAGAAUAUAAACAUGUUUUUGCCCUACAAUAAAAUAUUAAACUCUGCUAGUUAUUUCAUAUCUAAAUAUCUUGUCUUUAAGCUAUUGCUUGUUUGCUUGAAAAAUCCCUUUUCCAAUUAUCAGAAACAGGCCCUCUUAUUAAGCUGAACUCCGAUCAAUAAUUGCCAGAGUAGAUGUGAAAUCACGACAAAGAAUUGAUAUGCCCACACCUAAUUGGUUUUUAUGCUUUGUUUGCUUCUUGCCCUCGCAUAAGCCUGGGCAGAAUUUCUCACACAACGGAAAUAAUGACUCCAAGGUCCAUUAAGUGGGAUGGCAGGACAUCAUCUCGCCAUUAAUCUUCCACUUAGCAGAGCAGCUCGCCAGAGAGAGAGAGCGAGACAGAAAGAGAGAGAGACAGAGAUAGUGAUACAGAGAGAGAGAGAAAGACAGAGAGAGAGAGAGUAGUACUGUAGACUACUUUAUCACUGACCGCAACCCAGAGUCUCUCAG